AUUCCAUGAUGCGGACACACAAGGAUGUACUCCUGAAGUCUCUCCCAAGCAUCAAGGAACUGACUCAUUUGAUGCCUGCUGGAAACUCAAAAUCCUCCUACGAAGAGC